UAGCUUCUGCACUAUUUGUAGCCGCAAUUCAACAUCGAGGUCGCAAACAAUUAUUUUAAUAAGGGCUUAAAUAAUUAUAACGCUGUUAUCCCUAGAGUACCUUAUUCGUCUAAUUUAAUAAAGAUCAUUGUUAAUAUAAAUAGUCCUAUUUAAAUUUACCCCAAAUAAACUUGUGUACAAUUAUUACUUCAUUAAUUAAGUAAAGGUUCAUAGGGUCUUCUCGUCA
rnacentral:rRNA from 1 species